GACACAGUGGCCGUCUGGUUAGGGUGUUGGAAUCCGGAUCGAGUGGUCCAGGUUUGAGCCCUGGCUGGGGUCA